AGAGCGGGGAGGGGGGGGAGCGGCGCGUGCGGGGAGCGCCCGGGCGGCAGCGCUCCCGCCAUCCAUCCCCUGGAUCCCCCGCGUCCCCCCGUCCUUCUGGCCGGCCCCGCCGCGAUGUUCUCCAGGAAGGGCCACGCCGACGUCAGGAAAUCCACGCAGAAGGCGCUGGACCCGAAGCGGGACGUGCUGACCCGGCUGAAGCAUCUCCGCGCGCUGCUGGAUAUUGUGGAUGGAAGUGACCUGAAGCAAUUUUUUGAUAAUAAUUAUUCUCAAAUUUAUUUUAUAUUCUAUGAAAACUUCAUAACACUGGAAAAUAGCUUGAAACAAAAAGGGAAUAAAUCACAAAGGGAGGAGCUGGACUCCAUCCUCUUUCUUUUUGAAAAAAUAUUGCAGCUACUUCCUGAGAGGAUUUUUUAUCGAUGGCAUUUUCGCAGUAUAGGGUCGAUUCUGAAGAAACUUUUGCACACUGGAAAUUCUCUCAAGAUAAGAUGUGAAGGAAUCCGGCUGUUCCUGCUCUGGCUCCAAGCCCUGCAGACCAACUGUGGGGAGGAGCAGAUCCUGCUGUUCGCCUGCCUCGUGCCCGGCUUCCCCCCGCUGGUGUCCUCGCGGGGCCCCUGCACCCUGGAGAGCCUCAUCAGCCCUCCCUGCCCGCCCGACGCUAAGAUUUUUCCAGAGGAAAUAACCCCGCUUUUGCCAGCUGUCUCUGGAGAGAAAAUUGCUGAAGACCAAACCUGCUAUUUUCUUCAGCUCCUGUUAAAAUAUAUGGUAAUCCAGGCUGCAAGCUUGGAGUGGAAAAACAAGGAGAACCAAGACACUGGGUUUAAGUUUCUCUUUACCUUGUUUAGAAAAUACUAUCUUCCUCACUUGUUUCCAUCUUUUACAAAGCUAACCAACCUCUACAAACCUGUGCUUGAUAUUCCUGAUAUCAGGCCAAGGCCAGUGUAUGUCACUGCAACACGAAACAAUGAAAGUGUCUAUAGCACAAAAAUCCCCUAUAUGGCAGCUCGAGUUGUUUUUAUUAAGUGGCUUGUUACCUUCUUCCUUGAAAAGAAAUACUUAACUGCUGUUCAGAACACAAAAAAUGGAGGAGAAGUGCUCCCUAAAAUUAUUCAGACGGUGGGGGUGAGCCAGGACAAGGCGGCGGAGCUGGAGGGCGGCGCGGCGCAGGAGCAGGACGGGAGCCACUCCAACAGCAGCACCCUGUCCGACAGGAGGCUCAGCAACUCCAGCCUGUGCAGCGUGGACGAGCAGCACCGCGGCGUCUACGACAUGGUGCAGAGGAUCCUGCUCUCCACCCGCGGCUACGUCAACUUCGUCAACGAGGUCUUCCGCCAGGCUUUUUUGUUGCCACCUUCUGAUGUAUCCGCAACACGGAAAGUGGUGAAGGUGUAUCAGAAGUGGAUACUGCAAGAGAAGCCCGUGUUCAUGGAGGAGCCAGACAAAAAGGAGGACAACCAGGAUGCUGUUGUCCACCUGGAAGACUCCUCAGUGCAAACAGACGGUAAACAUCUUUCCUCGGAGCACUCCGGGCACAAGCGCUCCUCCAGCUGGGGCAGGACGUACUCCUUCACCAGUGCUGUGAGCAGGGGAUGUGUGCUGGAAGAUGAGGACAGAGAUGUGAAAGCUGGAGCCCAGGCUGCGUUACAGGUGUUCCUGACAAACUCGGCGAAUGUUUUCCUGUUGGAGCCGUGCACUGAGGUCCCGGUGCUGCUGAAGGAGCAAGUGGAUGCUUGCAAAGCUGUUCUCAGUAUCUUCAGGCGCAUGAUAAUGGAGCUGUCAAUGAAUAAGAAGACAUGGGAACAGAUGCUACAGAUACUCCUCAGAAUAACAGAAGCUGUGAUGCAGAAGCCGAAAGAAAACCAGCCAAAGGACACAUUUGCCCAGAGCAUGGCUGGGUUGCUGUUCCGAACCCUCAUUGUGGCUUGGAUCAGAGCGAACCUGAGCGUUUACAUCUCUCGGGAGCUGUGGGAUGAGCUGCUCAGUGUUCUGUCCUCCCUGACGGACUGGGAGGAGCUCAUCAACGAGUGGGCCAACAUCAUGGACUCCCUGACAGCAGUGCUGGCCAGGACCGUGUACGGCGUGGAGAUGACCAACCUACCCUUGGACAAGCUCAGUGAACAGAAGGAAAAGAAGCAGAGGGGGAAAGGUGGCAUUUUAGAGCCUCAGAAGACAGCAGUAGUGGGAAGAUCUUUUUCAUUAAGCUGGAAGAGUCAUCCUGAAGUCGUGGAGCCGAUGAGAUUCAGAAGUGCUACAACCUCUGGGGCCCCUGGAGUUGAGAAAGCCCGAAAUAUUGUUCGUCAGAGAGCGACAGCUAAGCGAAGCCAGUCUAUCAGCAACUGUGUCCAUCUUUAUGAGGCUUUGCCAGCUACUAAAAGUGUACCUCUUCUGCUUCACACUGUGAGCUCUCUCUUCCCUGGUCUCUCUUACACUUCUUGCUCUCACAGACUGUCAGAAGUUGAAGAAUCUCAACAGCUGGAAAAUUCAGAAGGAACAGAAGCUGUGGUCCCGUUUGCAGACCAAGAGCAGCAACUGACUCGAAGUAGCAGCACUUCAGAUAUUGCAGAUCAGAUUCCAUCUGAUUUUUUUCAAGGUAAAAAGGCUGGAAGUUCUCAUAAUUCAACUUCAGACUCCAAGUCAGUUCAGGAAAACAAGGGACAUGCAAAGAAGGAGGAUGAAGCUGAGCAAGUGCUAAUAGGAAGGAGCAGUAGUACAGCUGAAUUAGAUCUGAAAGCAGACUUUCAGCCACCCCAGGGGAAUUACAGAGACAGAGAAAAAAGUGAGAGCGUGAGCAGCGACGCGUCCCUGGGCUGCGGGGCCGACGUGGACAUCGCGCUGCUGCCCUGGCAGGGGGCCGAGGAUGACCCCGACCCCGCAGCGACUGCAGAGCUGUGUGUGGAUCCCACUGCCCCACGCUGGCUGCAGCUCAGCCCCUCGGAGCCUGCCAACCUCACAGACAGUAGUGAAUUCCUUGCUGAUGACUGCAGUAUAAUUGCUGGUGGAAGCCUUAUUGGUUGGCAUCCUGAUUCUGCUGCUGUGUUAUGGAGGAGGAUCUUGGGAAUUCUUGGAGAUGUGAACAAGAUACAGUCACCUAAAAUCCAUGCAAAAGUUUUUGGAUACCUUUAUGAGCUGUGGUAUAAACUUGCAAAGAUAAGGGACAACCUCGCUAUCAGUGUGGAUAAUCAGUCAACUCCCUCUCCUCCCAUCCUAAUCCCUCCUCUCAGGAUAUUUGCAUCGUGGCUGUUCAAGGCAGCCACGCUGCCCAGCGAGUACAAGGAGGGCAAGCUGCAGGCGUUCCGGCUGCUCUGUGCCAUGAUGACCCGGCGCCAGGACGUGCUGCCCAACUCCGACUUCCUCGUCCACUUCUACUUCGUGAUGCGCCUCGGCUUGACCAGUGAGGACCAGGAUAUCCUGAACACUGUCAUAAAGCACUGCCCACCCUGGUUUUUCUUCCUGGGCCUGCCUGGGUUCACGAUGCUCAUCGGGGACUUCGUGGCGGCGGCGGCGCGGGUGCUGCGCACGGACACGCUGGAGGCUCCCCGUUCUGAAGCUCACACCAUCCUUGGUGCUCUCGUGUGCUUUCCAAAUACUUACCAAGAAAUCCCACGGUUGGGGCCCAUUUCAGAAGCCAGUGAGAUCAGCACAGGAACUGCAGAUGUGAAGUAUUGCCUCAUAAAUAUUUUACUGAAGAAUGCUACAGAGGAACCAAGUGAAGCUGCAAGGUGCAUAGCCAUCUGUGGCCUGGGAGUGUGGAUCUGUGAGGAGCUCACGCAGUGCACAAACCAUCCCCACGUGAAGAAGGCCAUCAAUGUCAUAGGUGUGACACUGAAGUUUUCCAAUAAGCUGGUAGCUCAGGUAGCCUGUGAUGUUCUUCAGCUGCUGGUGUCUUACUGGCAAAAGCUUCAGGAGUACGAAUCCUCCCUGUGCCGGAAAAUCACUGAAAUCCUCGUGGCCACCAUUGCCUUCCUUUUGCCAAGUGCUGAGUACUCCUCCGUGGAGGGGGAUAAGAAGUUCAUAGUUUCCCUGCUGCUCUGCCUGCUGGAUUGGUGCAUGGCACUGCCCAUGAAAAUGCUGCUGGAGCCCGUGUCUGCUGGUGCCGUGGAAGAUCAACACGCAUCCAGAGCUCCUUUACUGGACUACAUUUACAGAGUCCUACACUGCUGUGUGAACGGCUCCAGCACAUACACGCAGCAAAGCCACUAUGUGCUGAGCCUGGCCGACCUCUCCUCCUAUGACUACGACCCCUUUUUGCCACUGGGGAAUGUCAGGAGCUCGGAGCCAGCCCAGUGCCACUCCUCCACGGAUUUGGGCAACCUGCUCACUGUUGCUGAGGAGAAAAGGAGGAGGAAUUUAGAAUUGAUACCUCUGACUGCACGGAUGGUGAUGACUCACCUGGUGAAUCACUUGAGCCACUACCCGCUCAGCGGAGGCCCUGCCAUUCUCCACAGCCUCCUCAGCGAGAACCACGACAACUCCUACGUGGAGUCUUCUGAGCUGUCCUCGGAAGUCUUCCGGAGUCCCAACCUGCAGCUCUUUGUGUUCAAUGACAGCACUCUCAUAUCUUACCUCCAAAUCCCUGCAGAGAAGAGGGCAGGUGCUGAGCCGGCAGCAGCCCCCUCGGACGUCAGGGUGAUCGUCAGGGAUAUCUCAGGGAAGUACUCUUGGGAUGGCCGGAUACUGUACGGCCCUUUGGAGGGCUGCCUUCCACAGCAGAGCACCACCAACACCUUUGUGAUCUCCAGCAACCCCGAGCACCCCUUCACUUCCCAGAACGACAUUUCCCAGGCAGAGGAAGGAGAAGAUGCUCUCGACCAGUUGCUGGAGAAGAUCGGUGCCACCAGCCCCGAGUGCCUUCUGCACCCCCAGCGCAAGCUGAACGAGCCGGCGCCGCCGCCCUGCGGGAUGAGCUCCGAGCAGGAGCGGGCCAUCAUGGAGGCCCUGAUGAGGCAGAGCGCCCAGGAAAGGGAGUUCAUCCUGAAAUGCAGCUCGGACUGCAACAUGAAGGUGGCCCGCCAGGAACCACCACGCCCUGCUGAGCCUCAGGCCUCCUUUUAUUUCUGUCGACUGUUGCUGAACGACUUGGGAAUGAACUCCUGGGAUAGAAGAAAAAGCUUUCACUUGCUUAAGAAAAAUUCAAAAUUGCUGCGAGAACUGAAAAAUCUGGAUUCCCGCCAAUGCCGUGAGACUCACAAGAUCGCCGUGUUCUACAUCGCCGAGGGACAGGAGGACAAGUGCUCCAUCCUGGCCAACGCCAGGGGAAGCCAGGCAUAUGAAGAUUUUGUAGCAGGACUGGGCUGGGAGGUGGAUCUUUCCACGCACGGGGGUUUCAUGGGCGGCCUGCAGCGCAAUGGCAGCACAGGACAAACUGCUCCCUACUACGCUACCUCCACCGUGGAGAUCAUCUUCCACGUCUCCACCAGGAUGCCCUCGGAUUCGGACGAUUCGCUGACCAAAAAGCUUCGUCACUUGGGAAAUGAUGAGGUUCACAUCGUCUGGUCUGAGCACACCCGCAACUACCGCAGGGGCAUCAUACCCACGGACUUUGGGGAUGUUCUCAUUGUCAUUUACCCCAUGAAGAAUCACAUGUUUUUCAUAGAGAUCAUGAAGAAACCAGAGGUGCCGUUUUUCGGUCCUCUCUUCGAUGGAGCGAUCGUGACCGCGAAGCUGCUGCCCAGCCUGAUCUGUGCCACGUGCAUCAACGCCAGCAGAGCCGUCAAGUCACUCAUCCCGCUCUACCAGAGCUUCUACGAGGAGAGAGCUCUGUACCUCGAAGCCAUCAUCCAGAACCACAAAGAGGUGAUGACGUUUGAGGAUUUUGCCGCUCAGGUCUUUUCUCCCUCUCCCAGCUACUCCCUCGGUGGAACUGGUGAGUCUCUGCACGUUAUUCUUCUCUGUAGCCCCAAGAAGCACUUGAGCAGCAGAUGUACACCUGUUUUUUGUAGAUAAAUGCUUGCAAAUUUAAGAAGACCAUUCUUCCCCUGAAUCAACUAAUGAAUAUCAAAAGGAAUGAUGACAUUCAUUUUAAUUUGUUUUGCAUCAGAGCUAUUCAGUCUGCUCCUUUCUUCAGCUAUCCUGUUAACCCCCGACUCCGGCGAGGUUAAUGAACUUUCUUGCAGUGAUGGGCUCCAGCUCAUUCAGGACUCCGGGUUCUUGCUGAGCUGGGAAUAUGUUGUUCAAAAGCGAGGCCUGAAUUGGGGCUCACUUAUCAAAAAUAGUUCCUCGCAGGGGAAGCUGCUGCUAAUGCUAAAUGGGGAUUAUGCUGCUGAGCUACCAGGGUCAGGGAUUAAUGCACAAGAAACGCAGGAACGGGGUGCUGUUAGGGAAUCACAGCGGCGGGCGGGAUGCGGGCGCGUCCCUUCAAUGCAGACAAGCACACUGCAGGCUGCCCUCCAGCACCUGGCCUGGAGCCUCUUUGGGGGCUUUAAUGGAUGUGUGGAUAUAUGGGGGGGGGGUGUAUACACACACAUCAGUGCUCAUCAUUCAUCAGCCCUCCUGAGAGGUGACAACGCAGUGCCAAACUCUGGGCAUUUAUUCCUCGUGUGCCCUGUGGAGAUUUAGGUUAGUGUGUGGUCAGUGAGGUACUAAUCGCUGCCUGGACGGUUCAUUGAGUUUAAGUGAACCUCUUCUGAAAGAGAUCUUUUGCUCUGAAAUGCAGAUUUCUAGUGCCCUCAAGAUGUGUUUUUUCCAGCCUCCAGAAAGUAUCUGUCACUGUGUGCUGGACUCUCUAACAAAGAUUCCUUAAUCCAUUGUUGACACUCAUAGGGUGACACAGGCACUUUCUAAUCAUUCCCUGCUUCUCUUUUGGAUUGCUGAAUAGAUUAUUUCCAACUUGUACAAACGUUGCGGGACAUCUGCUCUAUUUCUCUUUAGCCUGACUUGUUAGCAGAUAUCUUCCAUCUAAACUGAAACAUUGAAGGAAGAAAUUAAAUUUGCUAGAAUAAAUCACUUAGGAAUAAAACCAGCCGUGCAGCAUUGUCUAGUGUUCCUGGCUCCGGUCCUGGCGCGCUCGGAGCUUUGUGAGGAGAUAAGAGGCCUGUGCGGGCCGGGCAGUGGUGGCCAGGAGCAGCAGGCAGAAGGCUUUGGAGAUAAGCGCUGGCAGGAGGGGAGGGAGCCGGGGCCAUUUACAUAAUCGCGCCUCUGCGUCCUGGAGAGGCGUCAGGGAACACGGGAUGGAUCUAUUGAUCUCUGCUGAACUGGAAUACUAAACAACGCUAGGAAAGCUUAUAACUUAAAGCUUUGAUUAAUGUUUCCUACAUUAAAAAGUAGAACAGCUGUGCAUUAAAUUCUUUUAUACACUCUGCCAAAAGUCUGAGACAAAAAAAUCGCCCGUUUCAAUAGGAGCACAGCGCGUGCCCAGGGUUGGUCGUUAGCACUUGAAUCGUUUAUCUGUUGACAUAUCAGCAAAUAGAAACGUAGAUAUAUUGAUCUAUUUUAAAUGUUUUGCUCUGUGCAUAAUUGUGUCUCGUUUUCAUGUUUUUUAGGGCACGCAGUGCUCUGGUUUUGUACAAAUGUGGUCUGACGGGGCAGAUCCCUCGGCAGUGCCGCUCUCUGAAGGCUGGGAUAUGCUGUGUUUGCCAGACCUGGUUAAAGUGUUUCCCAAUAGCUGAGGUUUUCAGAACACUGCUAAAUCAUGAGCACCCUGGAUGUGGUUUUAUAGUUUCAUUAUUUUAAUUGCUUUUAAUUGUAAAACCUGCCCCAGUCAGGUCCCAGUUUUUGGACUUCUGAGCCUCAGAAUUAAUUUCUUGCUCAUGAACUGGAGGCUGGCCAUGACUUCUGGUGUCAGAAUCUCUGCUUCAGAGAGUCUCCUCACAUUACCUACUGAUUCACCUGCAUAUUUAGUCAGUGAUGAGCAAGGGCAGUGUCAGCCAUGGCCAUCGGGAUGUGUUUUCCAUCAGAUGCUCCCUGGCAGUUGGAAGGGAGGCUGGAUGCAGCCCUGGCAGCUCAGGAGCUGUUUCCCAGCAUGCAGCCUGUGCCACAGGCAGGCAGUCCUGCUCCAGGCACAGACCCACCUGUCUAACACCUGCAGGAAUCACCUGUGUGCUGCUUAGGAACACGGAUGGUAUUUUUCUCCAUGUAAAAAGGGAAUUUCUAUUCUGAAAUCAGGGAGCAAUAAAUGAAAAAAAAAAAAUUCCCUGAGAAGGUAGUCAGGCACUGGCACAGGCUGCCCAGGAAGGUGCUGGAGUCACUGCCUCCAAAGGUGUUCAGAAGGUGUCUGAAUGUGGCACUUGGGGAUGUGGUUUAGGGGUGAUGAUGGUGGUGCUGGGUUGGUGGCUGGAUUUGAUGAUCUUGAAGAUCUCUCCCAGCCUUGAUGAUUCUGUGGGAUUCAUGGAGCUGGCACAGGUGACAAGCCAGCUGGUGCCGCUAACCCUGCCGAGCGUAAACUCCUCAGGUAAAUUUAAGAUUAAUUCUCAUCUGAUCUGAUUCUUAAUGCCACUCAAGUGUGGUGCUGUCAGCACUGCGAAUACAUGUGUGCAGCAGAAAGGUCAAGGAGUAAGUGUGCUUUUUAUUAAAAUGAAGCUUGUUCUCAGUAGUCAUAAGAAGAAAUCAGGACCAUUAAAUGAAUUGAACACGUAGCUCUUGCUGACACACAUCACUGGGGUGUUGCUACCCGUGAUCUAAUGAUUUAAACUGCAUGUUUUUGCAUUUUCUGAUGCUGCCCCGGGGGAUGCAUCCCCCACACUCAGGUCAGAUGUGGGUUUCCUGCCCUGGAUUAGUCUCCCUGUCACCAACAGUCUUGCAGGUGCUGCAUUUUCUGCAGGAAAAUCAUCCAGCUGAUCUCCUUUGCUGUUCCCAGGCACGGAGCCUUAAACUCCCUGCCUGGCUCACAGAUAGCCCUGGCUAUUGCAGGAUCACAGAUAGCCCUGGCUAUUGCAGGAUCACAGAUAGCCCUGGCUAUUGCAGGAUCACAGAUAGCCCUGGCUAUCUUCAGCGCUGAAAGCAGCCGGGUAGGCAGAAUGGCCAUCCCUGAACUCAUUUAGGGGAUGUGCAGAUUAGGAACAAAAGCUGGGAAUACGGCCCUUUGUUGUUAAACUGGUGCAUUACAUGCUGUAUUUUAAUUAGGCUGGGUCUGAGAGGCAGCCCAGGAAAUCCUCCAUAAUCCAACACUAUUGAAUUAUUCUCAUCCUUUCCCUCUGCAGAUUUCUCUCCUUUUAGAGGACGGGCUUUAAGCUGCUGUUCUUGCUCCCUCAGCCAAAACCAGAAACAGUUAUUCAACAAAACACUUGUGUGUUCUUUAAAAAAAUGGUGAAGCUGAAGUGGGCACACACAGAACAGAGCAGCACCCCAACUUUGCCUCUGUGGCUCAAAGGGCUGCCUUGGGCUUGGGGGUUUUUUGGUGUAAGAUCAGCAGCCAGAAGUGUGGUGUUAUCCCUUAGGAAGUGGAAGUGGCCAGGUAUUCCAGGGUAACUGCCUAAUCAUAGCUUGCCCACCAUGGGAGGAUUCUGAGCGAGGGGUUUGUACUCGCAGGGCAGGUUUCUGUUUGAAGGGAGCCCCGGAGCUGCAGCGCUGCCGUUGGCACUCCAGGGGUUAAUGGGAACGGGCACACUUGACUGCUGAGAGGACUGAUCUAAUCACUGCCAUAUCCAAGUGCAUCUGUUCACCAUGAGGUCAUUCUUGUGCAUGCUAAUGACUUGGAAAAUAAAGCACAAUGCUCAACGUUAUCAGGGAGGAUAUAGUGUAAAUCUUGGCUUUUUUAGUUGCUAAUGGAUAUUGUGGAAUGGGCAGGCAAAGCAUCCUGGAUUCUUGUGUUCCAGCUUAAUGUUUUUAAAGCAUCCUUUUCAGUGGAGUGUCAGGAAAACUGUGCUGGAAAACUCAGACAUGUGGUAUCUGUUGAUAAAUGGAUUCUUUAAUGAAUAUUAUGGCAUUGCCCAGGAGCAACACUUGAGUUGAGGAACUAUAGAGGUUUUCAGCAUUCCCUGGUUUUAAAGCCUCGGGAGCCUGCCUGCUGAUUUACAUAAAACCGAGAUUUUGCAGGCUUUUUGUUGUAAAGGUGACACAUGCUUUUCUUUUGUCUCCAGACUUUUACAUGCAUAAAGUUCCUGUAGAAAACACUUGAAUGUACAAGGAACCAGAUCUGGUUUAUUUUAAACCACUUUUUGGUCAGUGCUGAGCUUUAUCUUUCCCACUUUAAAGCGAAAGGAAUAUUUCAAUUUGACAUCUAGAUUUAAAAUGUAUUUUUGACAGAAACAAAACCAAACCCAGAGUAACUAUUGCGUUAACCAGACUGAUGCUCCUUUGUAACAAUGAGCCAGGAUUCCUUUUGCUUUGGUGUGGUUUUUCUGGUUUUGUUUUUUACUUCUUUGGGUUUUUUGUGCUUUUAUCUUUUUCCUUGAAAAAAGGUGUUUUCCUUGUAGGGUGUUUUGUCAGAUCUGUGUACAGGUGGAACAAAAGUCUCUCUGGGUUCUGUAUAUAUAAUAUUUCUGCCUGUUUUGGGGAAUAGUAAAGAAACACACAUCUGAAAGUGAGUAGCUGUGCCACGAUACCACAGCACGUGUGGCAUGUGCUGAGGUCGGGUUUGAUCCAUGUGUCAGUGUUGCCUGAAAUGGAACAAUUAAUUUCUAGUACCUGGGACUCAGGAAAUUCCCGACUGUCCUGGCUGCUCGGAGCCUCAGCUCAGCUGCUGACGCCAGGAGAGGAGGCAGCGCUGGCACUGUCUGCCAGGGGCAGCUGUGGGCUCCAUCCUCUGUGCCCAGCCCUCUCUGGUCCGGGACGGGUCCCUGCGAUGUAGGAGGAAGGACAGGGAAUUGAGUCGUUAGCACGGAGCUCGUGCUCAGCAGGUGAGAUGGAACUCAGGUGCUGCCCUGGUGCAGGUUGUCCAGGCAGUGAACAAAGAGAAAAAGCUGAGGGAGGUGGAGCAGGGGAGCCAGAACGAGUUACCACAGGAGGCAGGAUUUGGCUUUCUCUUCUCCUCCUUCCCUGUGAGUAUUCAGGAGGAGGUGCAGGGACCUGUCUGGCUUUCCCUGUCUGUUUAAUCCAGGUAGCUCCACAUCCUGAGCAGACCGGAGCCUCUGUCCCAGCCGCUGCUGGGCUGCCCUCAGGGGCAGAUUCAGGAGCUGCUCCUUGCCCCUGUGCUCUCUGUUACCAGUGUUCCCUCCGUGGCUUUCCUGCCCUCAUCCACAGAGCUGCCACCUUAGUGUCCCUGUGAGGGGCAGGAAUGGUCUGCCAUUAAACAGAGCAGUGUCACAGUUACCAUGAAUUGUUGAGGCAGCAGCUCUGUCCCCCCGUAGCUCCUGUGGCUGAACAGGCCUGGCUCCACAGGGUCUGGAUCCCUGCAGAGCCCUAGGGAAGUUGCAUCCUUCCUUUGCAGCUCCCUGCAAAGCAGCGGCCGCCUGCUCUGGGCACAGGGGUCGUUUUCCCUGUGCCCUGUGCCGACCUGUCCCCGAGGCAGGGCAGGUGCUGGAGCUGCUUCUCCCUCAAGCCUGGCGUUCCCUCGGGAUCUCCAGCAGGGAAGGGGCACAUUAGGGCUCUCAGCCUGGGCCCCUGCCUUUUCCAUGUAAUUGAUUGGCUCAGAGGGAGCUCCCCCAGCUACGAUCUCCGGGAGAGGAGGCAGAGAGAGAGGGUUUCUCCAAGCAAUCAGUGCUGGGAUGGGAGAAAAUAUGAGCUUGACAGGCCCAUCUCUCCUGCCGGGUGACAGCUCCAGCUGCUCGAGCUGUCAGCUCGGAGAAGGCUCCGGGCAAUGUGGCCUCUUUGCAUUUUCCCUCUGCACUGAGGCACCGGCUCGUGGCCGUGGAGAGCCAGAGCAGAGCUGGAGCAGAGCUGUCCUGUGGCCACGGGCCAGGGGCUUGGGCUGCCCCACCUGUGACACCCCCAAAACCCCCAACGCUCCCCCUGGCUGAGGUUGAGGCCAACCCGUGCAGAACUAAUUAGCGGCUGCUCCAAGUCCUGACUAAUUAAACUUCAAUGUGUACAUUUAGGGUUUAUUUCCAAAUCCCUCAAACCGCCUUGACGGUGCCAGGCACUCCCUCCUGGAAACUGUGAAUGCUAUUUUAGGGGUGAUUCUGCCCCUGAUUAACCUGUAGUUUGAGAUUCUCUUACUGCUUCACUUAGAGCUUUCCAAGGCACUGCAGGACGUGUUUGAUUAGCACAGCCACUGCUUCAGUUAUCGAUGAUUUCUUCCACGCAGGCUCAGGAUGCUGCCUACAGUGUACUUUGAGCCUGUCCUUAGAAGUGGGAAGCAGGAACACUGGGCAGAUUUACUACAGUGAUUCUCUCUGGAAUUUUCUGACCUUCACAUUUACUAGGAAGGAAAACAAAGAUUUCCACAGCCCUGUCCUGGCUGACAGGUUAAUGGGGGGCUGGAACAGGUCACAGCCCAUGUGACAACUUCAUGGGUCUUCUCAAAUACAAGGCUUCGGGAUCCUUACAGGUCAUGGAGACCCACCCUUGCUUUCAGGGGCGUUCAGCUACUUCAGGAGGAGAGAAAUGGCUGAAAGGUCAUUCCUAGAGCACCUGCCCUGGCAAGGCAGGGCAUGAGAAAUGAGGUUUGUUCUCUCUGGUGGAUUUGAGAUGCAAUAAGCCAUUUCUCUCUAGCUUCCCACAAAACAAUUUCAUUUAAAGUGUGUUUUUAUCUAUAUUCCUAACUCCAUUUCUAAUCCCCUCCUGCAAAGAACUUAUUUUAAAAGCUUAAGCCUCCCUCACCAGGCCUCACCUGUAAGAGGCCCUACACUGCUCAUUUCCUGGGGUUUUAACCUGCCUGCAGUGUCCCAGUGGUUUAGGUCUCUGUGAAGCCUCAAAUCUUACACAGUUUGACAUGGUGUGACCAGCAACGGUGCUGGAGGUGGAGCCGAGGCAGCUGCACCCACCGUCCCAUGGCAGCUUGUUUGGCAAAAGCUGAAGUGCAAUGGUUAUUCAUUCCCAUUUUUGCCAGCAUUCCCUCCCUUGACUGUUUCAAUCCACAGACCCGAGAAGGAAGCGUGUGGGUCCCCGUUUCUCCAGGUCCCCGAGGGCUGAGGGGAACUCUCCUUCCUGAGCUGCCCCUCCGCUGGUGCCCAGCGUGUGCCGGUGUCUGCUGUGCCAGGCUGGCACAGCGGGUCCUGGGUGUGCUGCUCCUGCACUGACACGGUUUUGUGUUCUCUCCCUUUAGAUUAGAGUGUGUAACGCUCGUUAAUGGCCGCAGGCUGCCUCACCACAAGUGCAAGCGCUGACCUCACUGUCACCAUCGGCAUCGAGCUGGCGGAGCCGCCCUCGCCCACGCUGCCACGUGCCUCCAGGAGCAGAGUCUCCGGGA